rnacentral:rRNA from 1 species
UACGUAGGCGGAAAAUUAAGUCAGUAGUGAAAUCCCGCAGCUUAACUGUGGAACCGUUAUUGAUACUGGUUUUCUUGAAUAUAGUUGAGGUAGGCGGAAUGUGUAAUGUAGCGGUGAAAUGCUUAGAUAUUACACAGAACACCGAUUGCGAAGGCAGCUUACUAAGCUAUGAUUGACGCUGAGGUACGAAAGCGUGGGGAGCGAACAGGAUUAGAUACCCUGGUAGUCC